rnacentral:rRNA from 1 species
GUCUCUUUGAGUAAUAUUAAUAGAGAGUUGGGCCUGCUCGGUGAUUUAUAUUUAACAGCUGCGGUAUUAUAACUGUACUAAGGUAGCAUAGUAAUUUGCCUUAUAAAUUAAGGCUAGAAUGAAUGGUUUGACGAAAAUUAAUCUGUCUCUAUUUUAUUUACUAGAAGUUAAUUUUUAUAGUGAAAAAGCUUAAAUGAUUUAAAGGGACGAAAAGACCCUAUUGAGCUUAUAUUAAUAAUUAAUAUAAAUAAAUAUAUUAAGUGAGUUAAUUUUGGUUGGGGUGAUCAAGGAAUAAAAAGUAGUAUUUAUAAUAACUUCCUUAAUUUUAUAAUUUUUGUUGAGUAAUAAACCAAAUAUUUUUGCUUAUAUGAUAAGUUACCAUAGGGAUAACAGCGUAAUUUUUUUUGAGAGUUCAUAUUGAGAAAAGAGAUUGCGACCUCGAUGUUGGAUUAAAAUAACCUUAAGGUGUAGAGGCUUUAUUAGGUAAAUCUGUUCGAUUUUUAAAAUUUU